AGUACCUCACACAUGCAUCUUGGUGGCUGGAGUGAGAAAUGCUAAGAUCCCAGCUGGUCUUGUUUCCUCAGACUGGAAUCUUCUGUGUCCUCAUCUGAAUGACUCUCAGCUGAACUGCUGCUCGAAAGCCUGAAGCUUAACCAGCUAAAAGCUUAACCAACCAAAUGCCUUUAGUUUCUGAUCCUUACACCUUAUAUAUCUUUCUGCUUUCUGCCUCGCUCCCUGGGAUUAAAGGCUCGCUUUCUGGGAUUAAAGGCGUGAGUCACCAUGCUUGGCUGUAUCCUUGAACAGAUGGAUUUCUGCCUCUGGAAUGCUAGGAUUAAAGGCAUGUGCUACCACUGCCUAUCCUCUA